CACCAUGCCUCUUUUCAGUGACCCUGGCCUGAGCUCCCCCUCCCAUAAUGUCCUUUUCCAACCUAAGCCUCUGCAUACCCCUCCUGCCUCCUCCCAGUGUCUAGCCUGCCCCUCUCUCCACAGGGUGCCCGGCACCCAUUUGCCCAGGCAGUGGGCAGGAAUAUAGCCAAUCCCACGGCCAUGCUGCUGUCGGCUUCCAACAUGCUGCGGCAUCUUAAUCUUGAGUAUCACUCCAGCAUGAUUGCAGAUGCGGUGAAGAAGGUGAUCAAAGUUGGCAAGGUGAGUUGAGAAGAGUAGUGCUGGCUUCAGGAUUUAGAGUAGUUCUGGUGUCAGCACCUCGGCACUACUCUCUGGGGAACCUGAAUGGGGGUCUCCUUUCCCCCCAGGUCCCCAGAACAUCUGCUCCCUGACAUCCCUGCAUCCCUCUCAGGGCUGUCCUUCAUCUCCCUUCUCUUGGCUGUUUCAUCCUCUUGAUCUCUUUUGCCUCUUAGAUCCCAUCUGCUGUUCCCUCUUUCCUACUC
rnacentral:sRNA from 1 species